rnacentral:rRNA from 1 species
AGUGAACGCUGGCGUUAGGCCUAACACAUGCAAGUCGAACGGCAGCACAGUAAGAGCUUGCUCUUACGGUUGGCUAGUGGCGGACGGGUGAGGAAUACAUCUGAAUCUUCUUUUUCGUGGGGCAUAACGUAGUUAAAUUUACGCUAAUACCUCAUACGACCUACGGGUGAAAGCAGGGGAUCUUCGUACCUUGCCCGAUUCAAUGAGCGGAGGUCGGAUUACCUAGUUGGCGGGGUAAAGCCCCACCAAGGCGACGAUCCGUAGCUGGUCUGAGAGGAUGAUCAGCCACACUGGAACUGAGACACGGUCCAGACUCAUAAGGGAGGCAGCAGUGGGGAAUAUUGGACAAUGGGCGCAAGCCUGAUCCAGCCAUACUGCGUGGGUGAAGAAGGCCUUAGGGUUGUAAAGCCCUUUUGUUGGGAAAGAAAAGCAGCAGGUUAAUACCCCGCUGUUCUGACGGUACCCAACGAAUAAGCACCGGAUAACUUCGUG